UUGACGAAUGCUUCGAGAUUCGAGACAAGUUGUUCGGCCUUUGGUUUGUCGUCGGCUGGUAGGUUUUCGUUCUUGGCGGCUUCUUCGAUCUUUGGAAUGAGUGCCUUUGCUUCAACAACUUUAGCACUGAGCUCGUCAAUCAUCUCUUGU
ensembl:ncRNA ZK973.13 ncRNA